AGGGCACACGGUGGAUGCCUAGGCAUCAGGAGCCGAUGAAGGACGUGGGAGACCGCGAUAGUCCUCGGGGGGGAGCUGUCAACCGAGCUGUGAUCCGAGGGUGUCCGAAUGGGGGGGAAACCCGGCACCCGUCAUGGGGGGUGUCACUCAUGCCUGAAUUCAUAGGGUAUGAGGGGGGAACGUGGGGGGGAAGUGAAACAUCUCAGUACCCACAGGAAGAGAAAACAAUUGUGAUUCCGUGAGUAGUGGCGAGCGAAAGCGGAAGAGGCUAAACCUGAUUGUGUGAUACCCGGCAGGGGUUGCAGUUGGGGGUGUUGUGGGAUAUGACCGUCGUGGUUCUGCCGGACUGUGGACUUCAUGCACAUCCAGUUAGUGGAAGACUUCUGGAAAGGGUCGCCGUAGUGGGUGAGAGCCCCCGUACGCGAAAACUGGUGUGGUGUUGUGGGUUGUACUCCCGAGUAGCAGCGAGCUCGUGGAAUUUGCUGUGAAUCUGGCGGGACCACCCGCUAAGCCUAAAUACUCCCUGAUGACCGAUAGCGGACUAGUACCGUGAGGGAAAGGUGAAAAGUACCCCCGGGAGGGGAGUGAAAUAGUACCUGAAACCGUGUGCCUACAAGCCGUCAGAGCCGGGCUGCGAUUCGUCGUGGUGGUGAUGGCGUGCCUUUUGAAGAAUGAGCCUGCGAGUUAUGCUUCGUGGCGAGGUUAACCCGUGAGGGGGUAGCCGUAGCGAAAGCGAGUCUGAAUAGGGCGUGUAGUCGCGGGGGUGUAGACCCGAAGCGGAGUGAUCUACCCAUGGCCAGGGUGAAGCUACGGUAAGACGUGGUGGAGGCCCGAACCACCAGGGUUGAAAACCUGGGGGGAUGAGCUGUGGGUAGGGGGGGUGAAAGGCCAAUCAAACUCCGUGAUAGCUGGUUCUCCCCCGAAAUGCAUUUAGGUGCAGCGUUGCGUGGUGGGUACCGGAGGUAGAGCACUGGAUGGCCUAGGGGGGGCCUAAAAGCUUACUGAAGUCAACCAAACUCCGAAUGCCGGUACUUCUAGCGUGGCAGUGAGACUGCGGGGGGAUAAGCUUCGUAGUCGAGAGGGAAACAGCCCAGAUCACCGGCUAAGGCCCCCCCUAAGCGUGUGCUAAGUGGGAAAGGAUGUGGGAUCGCCCGGACAACCAGGAGGUUGGCUUAGAAGCAGCCACCCUUUAAAGAGUGCGUAAUAGCUCACUGGUCAAGUGGUCCUGCGCCGACAAUGUAGCGGGGGCUCAAGUGCACCGCCGAAGCCGUGGCAAUCCGAUGUAUGUCGGGUUGGGUAGGGGAGCGUCGUGCAUCCAGCGAAGCGCCGGCGUGAGCCAGGUGUGGAGGGUGUGCGAGUGAGAAUGCAGGCAUGAGUAGCGAAUGCAGAGUGAGAACCUCUGCCGCCGAAUGACCAAGGGUUCCUGGGCCAGGUUAAUCCGCCCAGGGUGAGCCGGGACCUAAGGCGAGGCCGACAGGCGUAGUCGAUGGACAACGGGUUGAUAUUCCCGUGCCCGUGAUGGUGCGUCCGUGUCGAGGCCGGUGAUGCUAACCAUCCGAAGCCCUUUACUGACCUUCGGGUUGGUUUGUGGGUGGAGCGUGGGACCCGAUCCGGUAGUAGGCAAGCGAUGGGGGUGACGCAGGAGGGUAGUCCCGCCAGGCGUUGGUUGUCCUGGUGCAAGCCUGUAGCCCGAUGCCCAGGUAAAUCCGGGUGUCUGACUUUGAUGUCGUGGGUGAGAGGUGAUGCGUAGCCGAUUGAGGCGAAGUAGGGUGAUCCCAUGCUGCCGAGAAAAGCCUCUAGCGAGUGCUGUUGCGGCCCGUACCCUAAACCGACACAGGUGGUCAGGUAGAGAAUACCAAGGCGAUCGAGUGAACUCUGGUUAAGGAACUCGGCAAAAUACCUCCGUAACUUCGGGAGAAGGAGGGCCGUUGACCUUGAAGCCUCUUGCGGGCUAGGGGGUUGGCGGUCGCAGAGACCAGGCCCAAGCGACUGUUUACUAAAAACACAGGUCCGUGCGAAGUCGCAAGACGAUGUAUACGGACUGACGCCUGCCCGGUGCUGGAACGUUAAGAGGACCUGUUAGUCCCUUUGGGGGCGAAGCGGAGAAUUUAAGCGCCAGUAAACGGCGGUGGUAACUAUAACCAUCCUAAGGUAGCGAAAUUCCUUGUCGGGUAAGUUCCGACCUGCACGAAUGGCGUAACGACUUGGGCGCUGUCUCGACCAGAGACUCGGCGAAAUUGCACUACGAGUAAAGAUGCUCGUUACGCGCGGCAGGACGGAAAGACCCCCGGGACCUUUACUACAGCUUGGUAUUGGUGCUCGGUUCGGCUUGUGUAGGAUAGGUGGGAGACUGUGAAGUGGCCACGCCAGUGGUUGCGGAGUCGUUGUUGAAAUACCACUCUGGUCGAAUUGGGUGUCUCAACCUCGGGCCAUGAUCUGGCUCAGGGACAGUGCCUGGUGGGUAGUUUAACUGGGGGGGCGGUUGCCUCCCAAAGAGUAACGGAGGCGCCCAAAGGUUCCCUCAGCCUGGUUGGCAAUCAGGUGUUGAGUGUAAGUGCACAAGGGAGCUUGACUGUGAGACCGACAGGUCGAGCAGGGACGAAAGUCGGGACUAGUGAUCCGGCACCACCUGGUGGAAGGGGGUGUCGCUCAACGGAUAAAAGGUACCCCCCCGGGGAUAACAGGCUGAUCUUGCCCAAGAGUCCAUAUCGACGGCAUGGUUUGGCACCUCGAUGUCGGCUCGUCGCAUCCUGGGGGGGCUGGAGUAGGUCCCAAGGGUUGGGCUGUUCGCCCAUUAAAGCGGUACGCGAGCUGGGUUUAGAACGUCGUGAGACAGUUCGGUCCCUAUCCGCCGCGCGCGCAGGAGACUUGAGGAAGGCUGUCCCUAGUACGAGAGGACCGGGACGGACGAACCUCUGGUGUGCCAGUUGUCCCGCCAGGGGCAUGGCUGGUUGGCUAUGUUCGGAAGGGAUAACCGCUGAAGGCAUCUAAGCGGGAAGCUCGUUCCAAGAUGAGGUCUCCCACCACCUUGCGUGGUUAAGGCCCCCCCAGCAGACUACUGGGUUGAUAGGCCAGAGAUGGAAGCCUGUGAGGGGUGGAGUUGACUGGUACUAAUAGGCCGAGGGCUUGCCAU
rnacentral:rRNA from 1 species